rnacentral:rRNA from 1 species
GACGAACGCUGGCGGCGCGCCUAACACAUGCAAGUCGAACGAGAGAUGAGGAGCUUGCUCUUCAAAUCGAGUGGCGAACGGGUGAGUAACGCGUGAGGAACCUGCCUCAAAGAGGGGGACAACAGUUGGAAACGACUGCUAAUACCGCAUAAGCCCACGGCUCGGCAUCGAGCAGAGGGAAAAGGAGCAAUCCGCUUUGAGAUGGCCUCGCGUCCGAUUAGCUAGUUGGUGAGGUAACGGCCCACCAAGGCGACGAUCGGUAGCCGGACUGAGAGGUUGAACGGCCACAUUGGGACUGAGACACGGCCCAGACUCCUACGGGAGGCAGCAGUGGGGAAUAUUGCACAAUGGGGGAAACCCUGAUGCAGCGACGCCGCGUGGAGGAAGAAGGUCUUCGGAUUGUAAACUCCUGUUGUUGAGGAAGAUAAUGACGGUACUCAACAAGGAAGUGACGGCUAACUACGUGCCAGCAGCCGCGGUAAAACGUAGGUCACAAGCGUUGUCCGGAAUUACUGGGUGUAAAGGGAGCGCAGGCGGGAGAACAAGUUGGAAGUGAAAUCCAUGGGCUCAACCCAUGAACUGCUUUUAAAACUGUUUUUCUUGAGUAGUGCAGAGGUAGGCGGAAUUCCCGGUGUAGCGGUGGAAUGCGUAGAUAUCGGGAGGAACACCAGUGGCGAAGGCGGCCUACUGGGCACCAACUGACGCUGAGGCUCGAAAGUGUGGGUAGCAAACAGGAUUAGAUACCCUGGUAGUCCACACCGUAAACGAUGAUUACUAGGUGUUGGAGGAUUGACCCCUUCAGUGCCGCAGUUAACACAAUAAGUAAUCCACCUGGGGAGUACGACCGCAAGGUUGAAACUCAAAGGAAUUGACGGGGGCCCGCACAAGCAGUGGAGUAUGUGGUUUAAUUCGACGCAACGCGAAGAACCUUACCAAGUCUUGACAUCCCUUGACGAUGCUGGAAACAGUAUUUCUCUUCGGAGCAAGGAGACAGGUGGUGCAUGGUUGUCGUCAGCUCGUGUCGUGAGAUGUUGGGUUAAGUCCCGCAACGAGCGCAACCCUUAUGGUCAGUUACUACGCAAGAGGACUCUGGCCAGACUGCCGUUGACAAAACGGAGGAAGGUGGGGAUGACGUCAAAUCAUCAUGCCCUUUAUGACUUGGGCUACACACGUACUACAAUGGCGUUAAACAAAGAGAGGCAAGACCGCGAGGUGGAGCAAAACUCAGAAACAACGUCCCAGUUCGGACUGCAGGCUGCAACUCGCCUGCACGAAGUCGGAAUUGCUAGUAAUCGUGGAUCAGCAUGCCACGGUGAAUACGUUCCCGGGCCU